AAAAAAGGUUUCUUCGUCCCUUAUAGUAGCCAGUAAUAGACCAAAUACUAUAACAGUAAACGACAACAUUGUACCAGAGGGCACUUCUGGUGGACCACUACUAGAUGCUUAU
rnacentral:sRNA from 1 species